rnacentral:rRNA from 1 species
AAAUUGACGGGACCGCACAAGCGGUGGAUGAUGUGGAUUAAUUCGAUGCAACGCGAAAACCUUACCUACGCUUGACAUGUCAGGAACCUCGAAGAGAUUUGAGGGUGCCCGAAAGGGAACCUGAACACAGGUGCUGCAUGGCUGUCGUCAGCUCGUGUCGUGAGAUGUUGGGUUAAGUCCCGCAACGAGCGCAACCCUUAUCAUUAGUUGCUACGCAAGGGCACUCUAAUGAGACUGCCGGUGACAAACCGGAGGAAGGUGGGGAUGACGUCAAGUCCUCAUGGCCCUUAUGCGUAGGGCUUCACACGUCAUACAAUGGUCGGUACAGAGGGUUGCCAAGCCGCGAGGUGGAGCCAAUCCCUUAAAGCCGAUCGUAGUCCGGAUCGUAGUCUGCAACUCGACUACGUGAAGUCGGAAUCGCUGGUAAUCGCAGAUCAGCAUGCUGCGGUGAAUACGUUCCCGGGUCUU